GACGAACGCUGGCGGCGUGCUUAACACAUGCAAGUCGAACGAAAAGAGGGAAAGAGCUUGCUCUUUCCGGAAUUGAGUGGCAAACGGGUGAGUAACACGUAAACAACCUGCCUUCAGGAUGGGGACAACAGACGGAAACGACUGCUAAUACCGAAUAAGUUCCAAGAGCCGCAUGGCCCAUGGAAGAAAAGGUGGCCUCUACCUGUAAGCUAUCGCCUGAAGAGGGGUUUGCGUCUGAUUAGCUGGUUGGAGGGGUAACGGCCCACCAAGGCGACGAUCAGUAGCCGGUCUGAGAGGAUGAACGGCCACACUGGACUGGAGACACGGUCCAGACUCCUACGGGAGGCAGCAGUGGGGAAUCUUCCGCAAUGGGCGAAAGCCUGACGGAGCAACGCCGCGUGAGUGAUGACGGCCUUCGGGUUGUAAAACUCUGUGAUCCGGGACGAAAAGGCAGAGUGCGAAGAACAAACUGCAUUGACGGUACCGGAAAAGCAAGCCACGGCUAACUACGUG
rnacentral:rRNA from 1 species